GGAAAAUAACAGGAGCAUGGGAUAACACAAAAGUUGAGAGAAUGUUAAAUAAUGAAGAGGACAGAUGCUCUGGAAACUGGAUGCAAGCAAAAAACAUUUGUUUCCAUACAGACAAAUGUAUAUAUGUAGCCAUAUCUAGUAACAGAAUAUGAAGUGACCAACAAGAAUAAAGUUCAUGUGUGUGAACAGCAGAACUGUGGUCUGAGGUUAUGGAAUAAACUCCUCCAAGAACUAAGGACCACAACAAACCUCACCAUUUUCUGUUCCAAGUGCAAGGUGUUUUCUUUAACUUUGCCUUCUCUAGUGUAAACACAUAGCAACAGAUAUAUUUAUUUAAAAAACAAACAAACAAACA